CCUACGGGUGGCUGCAGUAAGGAAUAUUGGUCAAUGGACGGAAGUCUGAACCAGCCAUCCCGCGUGCAGGAAGAAGGUCCUAUGGAUUGUAAACUGCUUUUAGCAGAGACGAAACGCCUUCCUUUAUGGGGGUUUGACGGUAUCUGCGGAAUAAGCACCGGCUAACUCCGUGCCAGCAGCCGCGGUAAUACGGAGGGUGCAAGAGUUAUUGGGAAUCACUGGGGCGAAGGGGGGGGUUUAAGGCGGUGGAGAAAGCCUGUAGCUUAACUACAGAAUUGCCAUUGAUACUGAUUUUCUUGAAUUGGGUUGAGGUUAGCGGAAUGUGACAUGUAACGGUGAAAUGUUUAGAUAUGUCAUGGAACACCGAUUGCGAAGGCAGCUAGCUGGGCCUUGAUUGACGCUGAGGCACGAAAGCGUGGGUAGCGAACAGGAUUAGAUACCCCAGUAGUC
rnacentral:rRNA from 1 species